rnacentral:rRNA from 1 species
UUGNUCAUGGCUCACGGCUGCCCGCUCGGCUUNACCAUGCCUAAUACAUGCAAGUCGAGCGAACAGACGAAGGAGCUUGCUCCUCUUGACGUUAGCGGCGGACGGGUGAUGUAAGCACUGCUGGGCAACCUACCUCUAAUAUCGUUUUUGUGUGAGUAUACUCCUGUGUGAAACCGGAGGCCUAAAUACCCGAGAAUAACUCAUACUUUAUCUACGUUCAAUAGUGCUUGAAGAUACCUUGACAAAGACCGUGUUUCCGGCUAGUCAGCUAUAC